rnacentral:piRNA from 1 species
UAAAAAGUGACCUCUGUCCUACCAUAAGC